CAUGCAAGUCGAGCGGACAGAUGGGAGCUUGCUCCCUGAUGUUAGCGGCGGACGGGUGAGUAACACGUGGGUAACCUGCCUGUAAGACUGGGAUAACUCCGGGAAACCGGGGCUAAUACCGGAUGGUUGUUUGAACCGCAUGGUUCAAACAUAAAAGGUGGCUUCGGCUACCACUUACAGAUGGACCCGCGGCGCAUUAGCUAGUUGGUGAGGUAACGGCUCACCAAGGCAACGAUGCGUAGCCGACCUGAGAGGGUGAUCGGCCACACUGGGACUGAGACACGGCCCAGACUCCUACGGGAGGCAGCAGUAGGGAAUCUUCCGCAAUGGACGAAAGUCUGACGGAGCAACGCCGCGUGAGUGAUGAAGGUUUUCGGAUCGUAAAGCUCUGUUGUUAGGGAAGAACAAGUACCGUUCGAAUAGGGCGGUACCUUGACGGUACCUAACCAGAAAGCCACGGCUAACUACGUGCCAGCAGCCGCGGUAAUACGUAGGUGGCAAGCGUUGUCCGGAAUUAUUGGGCGUAAAGGGCUCGCAGGCGGUUUCUUAAGUCUGAUGUGAAAGCCCCCGGCUCAACCGGGGAGGGUCAUUGGAAACUGGGGAACUUGAGUGCAGAAGAGGAGAGUGGAAUUCCACGUGUAGCGGUGAAAUGCGUAGAGAUGUGGAGGAACACCAGUGGCGAAGGCGACUCUCUGGUCUGUAACUGACGCUGAGGAGCGAAAGCGUGAGGAGCGAACAGGAUUAGAUACCCUGGUAGUCCACGCCGUAAACGAUGAGUGCUAAGUGUUAGGGGGUUUCCGCCCCCUUAGUGCUGCAGCUAACGCAUUAAGCACUCCGCCUGGGGGAGUACGGUCGCAAGACUGAAACUCAAAGGAAAUUGACGGGGGGGCCCCGCACAAGCGGUGGGAGCAUGUGGUUUUAAUUCGAAGGCAAACGCGAAGAACCCUUACCAGGUUCUUUGACAUCCUCUGACAAAUCCUAGAGGAUUAGGACGUCCCCCUUUCGUGGGCCAGAGUUGAACAAGGUGGUGGCCAUGGUUGUCGUCAGCUCGUGUCGUGAGAUGUUGGGUUAAGUCCCGCAACGAGCGCAACCCUUGAUCUUAGUUGCCAGCAUUCAGUUGGGCACUCUAAGGUGACUGCCGGUGACAAACCGGAGGAAGGUGGGGAUGACGUCAAAUCAUCAUGCCCCUUAUGACCUGGGCUACACACGUGCUACAAUGGACAGAACAAAGGGCAGCGAAACCGCGAGGUUAAGCCAAUCCCACAAAUCUGUUCUCAGUUCGGAUCGCAGUCUGCAACUCGACUGCGUGAAGCUGGAAUCGCUAGUAAUCGCGGAUCAGCAUGCCGCGGUGAAUACGUUCCCGGGCCUUGUACACACCGCCCGUCACACCACGAGAGUUUGUAACACCCGAAGUCGGUGAGGUAACCUUUUAGGAGCCAGCCGCCGAAGGUGGGACAGAUGAUUGUGGUGAAGUCG
rnacentral:rRNA from 1 species